rnacentral:lncRNA from 1 species
AGCACUUUUCCUUGCUGCCGCCAUGAGAAGAAGUAUGUGUUUUCUUCCCCUUCUGACAUGAUUGUUAAGUUUCCUGAGGCCUCCCCAGCCAUGCUGAACUGUAUUGCCUCCAGCACACUGUUUACAUUCCUACUGUGUCUCAGCAUCUGUUCUCCUGGGAAUAGAACUGGUCCACCUGAACAUAUGAUCUGUGCUGCUGUUGGUGCAGGAGGACAGGAGGGAAAUAAGCUGGAAGCCAUGGAUGUGGAGAGUCUGGCUUCAAGAUGGAGCUUGUUUACCUGCAGGGCCCCAUGCAGAACCUCAUGAGACGUGACUUCAGAGGCCUCCUCUCUGAAGGUGAGGGAGGCGUCAGCUGUUCAGAGAGAGAGGCUGCCUUGCCUGGGGACACACAGCUAGCCAGUGGCCGGAGCAGCAGUGGAUGCAGUUGUCCUGAUGCAUAGUUCAAGAAGCUUUUUUUUUUUUUUUUUUUUUCACGUGUGAAAACAUCUAUUGGGAAAAUGGAAAAAUCAUUUGACCUCAUAUUCCUCAUAGCUGACAUGACCUACAGGGAACGAAGAAGAAGGUUAAACGAGGACAAGAAGCUCUGAAGGCACCAUCCUCCACAUUGACAGAACCAUCUGGAGCAUGAAUUUGGGGAGAGCUUGGUUCUGAGACAGCGCUGCUCAGUCCCAUGCAGACACCAGCCCUGCUCCCUGCUCCGAUCAGAGUCAUAAGCCACGAUUCAUGCUGUUAAGAGCAAUUUUCAUUCUUAACCUUUCUGGUAUGUCUCUUCCUGAUCAGUUUGUCAGCCACUCCCUUUCUCAAAGUAUUUCUGUUCAUGACACCUUAAUUGAUUUUCCAUAUUUUUCUGUCCAGAGCUCAUUAAAAUCUCAUCUUCUUGCAUAUAAUAAUGUGCAAGUGUGGGAAGCACUGCUUUCCAAA